CAGUCACCAUAGAAACCAACGUUUGUGUGGUGCUCAAUGAUUGGAAGGAGGAUUAUGGAGGGCAAACCAUGCCAAUCUUCAGGGGAACAAUUUCCAGUCCUGUGACCAUCACCUGUCUGCCCUCAUCUCCACUACCUAUUGUCUCUGAAUAUGAUGUACUGGCCAAAGUGGGAAAAUCCAGGCUCAUCUUGAACUUUCCCAGUCCUAGAUCUGGAAUCAAUUCUCUCUCCAAGAAGCCCUGGCUCCUUUUAGUGGGGAAUGGUAUUCAGAAACCAAGAUGCAGAAACCUACCUUGAGACCACCAUGCUGAUAGGAAGCUGGGUCGACUCCUGGAGUAAGAGAGGCCCUGUAAAGGAGAACCAAGUUAUACCACUCAACAGCCAGCACCAACGACUUUGAUGUUUGAGUGAAGCCAUCUUUCCCCAGUCAAUCUUCUAGCCGACUGCAAUCACAUGAAUGAGCCCAUGCCAAACUGUUGUUUUAAGCUACUAGGUACAAAAAUAAUUUGUCACACAGCAAUAGAUAAUUGAUAACUUAUAAUUAAUUGGUGUUUCUGUGGGGAAAUAUGAGUGAGUCUGUUCCUUUCAACUCUGAAAACUAAAAAACAUAAAUUGUUUCAAACUUUUAAUUGUAAGGAAGAGCCCUGAAUGGAAUACCAUUGUGCAUGAAGUUCAGUCUGCAUUUUUAGUUAUCUCCUUGUGAGAACACCCUUGGUCAAGUAGCGUGGAUAUUUCUAGAUCUUUUUCUACAUACUUCCAAAAGAAUUUCCAGACACUGUACUGAAGCUCAUUCUUUUUUUUUUUUUUUUUUUUUUUUUUUUUUGAGAUGGAGUCUUGCUCUGUCGCCCAGGCUGGAGUGCAAUGGUGCAAUCUCGGUUCAAGCAAUUCUCCUGCCUCAGCCUCCCGAGUAGCUGGGAUUACAGGCAUGCACCAUAAUGCCUGGCUAAUUUUUUUGUAUUUUUAGUAGAGACGGAGUUUCACCAGUUGGCCAGGCUGGUCUCGAACUCCUGACCUCAGGUAAUCCACCCUCCUUGGCCUCCCAAAUUGCUAGGAUUACAGGUGUGAGCCACCAUGCCCGGCCUGAAUCACAUUCUCACCAGUGGUGUAUGAGGGACAUAAGGGUAUGUAACAGGCUUGACGUAAAUACGUAACGAAAAAUGAUGGAAACUCCCCCAUAGAAGGCAGAGUGCUAAAACCCUACUUCUUGAAAUCUGCCUCACCUACUUCUAGGGCCAGCCCUGAUGAUACCAGGAAGCUGAAUAGAUGGCAGGCUUCAGCUGAGUGCUCCAGCCAAUGCCCUGUGUCCAGAAGGCAAUGUAGUAUAAUGGUCAGGAGAGAAGGUUCUGGAGCCAGGCUGCCUUAGUUUAAAUACUGGCUCUAUCUCAUACAAAGCAUGACCCACUUGAAGCUUCUUAACCUCUCUAAGCCUCAAUUUGCUCAUCUCUAAAAUGGGAGGCUGGGGGCGGUAGCUCACGCCUAUAAUCCCAGCAAUUUGGGAGGCCGAGGUGGAUGGAUCACCUGAGGUCAGGAGUUCCAGAACAGCCUGGCCAACGUGGUGAAACCCCAUCUCUACUAAAAAUACAAAAAUUAGCCAGGCGUGGUGGUACAUGCCUGUAAUCCCAGCUACUUGGGAAGCUGAGGCAGGAGAAUCGGUUGAACCCAGGAGGUGGAGGUUGCAGUGAGCCGAGAUCACGCCAUUGCACUCCAACCUGGGCGACAAGAGCGAAACUCCAUCAAAAUAAUAAAUAAAAUAAAAUUAAAUUAAAGUAAAAUGGGAACAAUAUUAGUAUUCACCUCAUAGACUUGUGAGGAUUAAAUGAAAUAAUACAUGUCAAUUGCUUAAAAUAGUGCAUGGCACUCUGUAAGUGUUAGCUGUCAUUCUUAUUCUCUAUAUUGUUUGUGAACUUGUCACCAUAUAGGCAAGCCUUUAAUGAGGACUAUUUCCCUCUCUCCUGGUCAUGAGGAAAUGCCAGUAACAGACAAAAGGAGAGAUUUAAGAAGCCUCACUGGGCCAGGCGCAGUGGCUCACACCUAUAAUCCCAGCACUUUGGGAGGCCAAGGCAGGCGGAUCACCUGAGGUCAGGAGUUCGAGACCAGCCUGGUCAACAUAGUGAAACCCCGUCUCUACUAAAAAUACAAAAAUUAGCCUGGCGUGGUGGCACAUGCCUGUAAUCCCAGCUACUCGGGAGGCUGAGGCAGGAGAAUCGCUUGAACCCAGGAGGUGGAGGUUGCAGUGAACCGAGAUCGUGCCACUGUACUCUAGCCUGGGCGACAGAGCAAGACUCAGUCUUAAAAAAAAAAAAAAAAAAAAAGAAACUUCACUGAUUUCAAAAGUCAGAAUCAAAAGGGUCCAUAACCCUCCACGCACUCCUCCUUGACUCAAAAUGGUGUGUGGUCAGUGUACUCUCCGGGCUUGGGGGUAAGGUUGGGGGUGGGGAUAAGGCUGAGCAUUUGGCUUGAAUUACUCAGAAAAGGGAAGUCUGGUAAGGCAGAUUACUCUACGGGCUCCUGCUACAGCCUUUUCCCCCUUCGGUUAGGCAGCAGCAUUUCCUUAAUCACAUGGCUUGAGAGAUACCAACUCCCCAUUAACUGCAUGAACAAGGCCGCUUCUCAGUUUUUCCCUCUUGCCACUCAUGUCAGACCCUCAGUAUUACAGUCAUCAGCUCAGAGAGGCCUCACACAUUUCCACAGUUUCUUGCACUGAACUGGAGGCUUUUAGGGGCAGAUAACAGAAAGCCAAUUGGAGUCACUUGUGCAAAAGAGGAUUCAUUGAAAGGACAGUGUGGGCCGCUCCUGGAAUUAGGAGUUUUACUAAAUAAACAUGAGUCGCAAAAGCAAAAUCAGGACAGCUCCAGAGACCUCACAGUUUGAAAUGAAGUUCUUCAGAACCAGUAGGUUCUCCCUGCAUUCUGUCCUCUAUGCUUCUCUCUGUGCGUCUGUGAUAUGUUCUCAGACCAGCUUUUUCCCAGAGGCUGAGACAAUCCUGGCAGCUCGGGGCCUCACAUCCACAGUUUCACCACCCAAUAGGAAAGUGGCCUCUUUCCUUUGUUCUAAUUAAAAUUAUCCUGAGGGCCAGGUGCAGUGGUUCGCGCCUGUAAUCCCAGCACUUUGGGAGGCCAAGGUGGGCGGAUCACCUGAGG
rnacentral:lncRNA from 10 species